CUUUGGGGACGAAGCCUUCUUUAUUUAGAACAACCGUACUAGUUCACGUAAACGGUUACAUUCAGGAGAUGAAGGAAGCGAGGCUCAGAGAGAUUAAGUCACUCGUCCAAAGUCACCCUGCCGUCACUCAGCUCAGCUACCCACCAAGACAAGAAAGGCCCUCUUGCCACUUUCCCAGGUUCAAGUGUGCCUGGCCUGGAGGACAGAUGGAAUCUGAGACUUGGUGCUACUCAGCCGUGGGCAUCCAAAAAGCAAGGAGUGGCCUUGAAGUGCCUCGGCUGCACUAAGGAUGUCUCAUGAGCUGGAAGGAAAGGAGGGGGAGGUGCAGAAUUACAAAGACGCGAGGUCACAAGAAGGACAAAUGAGGACUACAGCCUAGCAGGCUUUUGCCAUUGGCCACUCCGAGAGGAGAGCUCUCCUGCCCCUCACAAAUGCAGGGGUGUGCCCUCUCUACCUGUCACCAGCUUCUGCAAAGCAAAGCACUGGGCAUUGCUAAAGCAUCACUCAUUCCCCACAUACAGCACUCAAUGGUGUAUCUGGGCCAUAAAUACUAUAUAAGCACUUUGCAAUCGGGUCCAUUUUUGUCACCAUUUCAUUCCUUUUAUACAUCAUUACUUAUUCUGACCAUUUAGAGCAAACUAUUUGAGAAAUAGGAGCACAGCCCAGGCCGGGCAAUAACCCCUCUUGUGUUG
rnacentral:lncRNA from 1 species